UUGAUCAUGGCUCAGGAUGAACGCUAGCGGCAGGCUUAAUACAUGCAAGUCGAGGGGCAGCAGCUUUAUAGCAAUAUAGAGGCUGGCGACCGGCAAACGGGUGCGGAACACGUACACAACCUUCCUUUAAGUGGGGGAUAGCCCAUAGAAAUGUGGAUUAAUACCCCGUAAUAUUAUUGAAGUGGCAUCACUUUAUAAUUAUAGUUUCGACGCUUGAAGAUGGGUGUGCGGCUGAUUAGGUAGUUGGCGGGGUAAAGGCCCACCAAGCCUUCGAUCAGUAGCUGAUGUGAGAGCAUGAUCAGCCACACGGGCACUGAGACACGGGCCCGACUCCUACGGGAGGCAGCAGUAAGGAAUAUUGGUCAAUGGACGCAAGUCUGAACCAGCCAUGCCGCGUGAAGGAUGAAGGUCCUCUGGAUUGUAAACUUCUUUUUAUAGGGGGGCGAAAAAGGGAAUUCUUUCUCACUUGACAGUACCCUAUGAAUAAGCACCGGCUAACUCCGUGCCAGCAGCCGCGGUAAUACGGAGGGUGCAAGCGCUAUCCGGAUUCACUGGGUUUAAAGGG
rnacentral:rRNA from 1 species